rnacentral:rRNA from 1 species
UACGUAGGGGGCAAGCGUUGUCCGGAUUUAUUGGGCGUAAAGAGCGUGUAGGCGGCCAGGUAGGUCCGUUGUGAAAACUGGAGGCUUAACCUCCAGCUGUCGAUGGAAACCAUCUGGCUAGAGUCCGGAAGAGGAGAGUGGAAUUCCUGGUGUAGCGGUGAAAUGCGCAGAUAUCAGGAAGAACACCCGUGGCGAAGGCGGCUCUCUGGGACGGUACUGACGCUGAGACGCGAAAGCGCGGGGAGCGAACAGG